rnacentral:rRNA from 1 species
CAUUGUCGAAUCCUGACCAGCCGAAUGACCAGAGAA